ACUGUUGCAAAAGUUUGAGAUGAUUUGUAAUUAGGGGUGAAAGGCCAAUCAAACUUGGUGAUAGCUGGUUUUCCACGAAAUAUAUUUAGGUAUAGCGUAAUUUUAGGUAGCAAAGGGUAGAGCUCUUUUUAAACUAGGGGAGUCAAUAAACUUUACUGAAUUUAGAUAAACUACGAAUAUUUGCUAAAUUUAAGAUUAUAGUCAGACUUUGAGUGCUAAGAUUUUAAGUCAAGAGGGAAACAGCCCAGAUUAUUAACUAAGGCCCAUAAAUGAAAGCUAAGUGAUAAAGAAAGUGAUUAGACCAAGAUAGUUAGAAGGUGAGCUUGGAAGCAGCUAUCCUUUAAAAAAUGCGUAAUUGCAUACUAAUUGAAAAUAUUUUAUUUAAGUCUAGUUGCGUCGAAAAUUCAUAGGACUUAUGCUUUCUGCCGAAGUUAUAAAUUUAAAUUAAAAUAAUUUAAAUGGUAGUGGAACGUUUUUUAAGCCAGUGAAGUUAAAUUGUUAAAUUUAAUCGAGGUAUAAAAA
rnacentral:rRNA from 1 species